ACGCAUCAAUCAUCUGCGCCACCUUAGUAAAAUCCAUCACAUUGGUAUACUACAGUGCUUUUGAAGACUCCAUUUUUGCUGUAGCUUGUAAAUCAUCUAUCGCGAAUCAUGUACUUCAAUUUCUUUGAUUACAAUUGAUUUUUCAACGAAUUUCCUUGAAAGUGCGUCGGUAAGUAAAUACGCAUCUCAUUUAAGAAAUAUAAAAUUAAUCUUUGCUCCAUUUCCCAGGACCUCAAACUAAAAACAACGGUUGAGCCAUGGGUUGAAUUCCGCCGGUUUGUUCCGAUACAUCGGCGGAAUUCAACCCAUGACUCAACCCGGAUGAUAGUACCGUGGUGGCCGCGGAUGGUUCCAGCGAAAUAAUUUAUAAAAAAAACAGGUGGAGUGCAACGAACAGAUGAUCCGCGCCUUAAACGAGGUUCCAUACAUUCCGGUGGCACUGCAGGAGACGGUGGCUAACCCAAGCUGCAGGAACACCGAUGCAUACACCGACGUGAUCGAAAUAAACUCCUUGAUUGACUCACAAAUGUCAGCAGAUCUCAUUCGGCACGAUUGAAGACGCCGGCCACUACCAAUCUCGCCGAGGGCUAUCCAGCCGUGUGCCGUUCAACUUAUUAUCACAGUUGUCGAUUGUGUAUACAUUCAUUUUCAAUGUAAAUAAAAUAAGCCAAC